rnacentral:tRNA from 4 species
GCCCUCGUAGCUCAGCGGAUAGAGCACCGCCCUCCGGAGGCGGGUGUCGCAGGUUCGAGUCCUGCCGAGGGCACCC